AGAGUUUGAUCCUGGCUCAGAUUGAACGCUGGCGGCAUGCCUUACACAUGCAAGUCGACGGCAGCACGGGAGCAAUCCUGGUGGCGAGUGGCGAACGGGUGAGUAAUGUAUCGGAACUGCCCAGUCGUGGGGGAUAACGUAGCGAAAGCUACGCUAAUACCGCAUACGAUCUAUGGUGAAAGCGGGGGACCGUAAGGCCUCGCGCGAUUGGAGCGGCCGAUAUCAGAUUAGGUAGUGGUGGGGUAAAGGCCCACCAAGCCGACGAUCUGUAGCUGGUCUGAGAGGACGACCAGCACACUGGGACUGAGACACGGCCCAGACUCCUACGGGAGGCAGCAGUGGGGAAUUUUGGAAAUGGGCGCAAGCCUGAUCCAGCAAUGCCGCGUGCAGGAUGAAGGCCUUCGGGUUGUAACUGCUUUUGUACGGAACGAAAAGGUUCUCUCUAAUACAGGGGGCUGAUGACGGUACCGUAGAAUAAGCACCGGCUAACUACGUGCCAGCAGCCGCGGUAA
rnacentral:rRNA from 1 species